rnacentral:rRNA from 1 species
GACGAACGCUGGCGGCGUGCCUAAUACAUGCAAGUCGAGCGCAGGAAGCCGUCUGAACCCUUCGGGGGGACGACGGUGGAAUGAGCGGCGGACGGGUGAGUAACACGUAAAGAACCUGCCCAUAGGUCUGGGAUAACCACGAGAAAUCGGGGCUAAUACCGGAUGUGUCAUCGGACCGCAUGGUCCGCUGAUGAAAGGCGCCCCGGCGUCGCCCAUGGAUGGCUUUGCGGUGCAUUAGCUAGUUGGUGGGGUAACGGCCCACCAAGGCGACGAUGCAUAGCCGGCCUGAGAGGGUGAUCGGCCACACUGGGACUGAGACACGGCCCAGACUCAUACGGGAGGCAGCAGUAGGGAAUCUUCCACAAUGGACGAAAGUCUGAUGGAGCAACGCCGCGUGAACGAUGAAGGUCUUCGGAUUGUAAAGUUCUGUUGUUAGGGACGAAUAAGUACCGUUCGAAUAGGGCGGUACCUUGACGGUACCUGACGAGAAAGCCACGGCUAACUACGUGCCAGCCGCCGCUGUAA